rnacentral:tRNA from 1 species
AGCGGGUGUAGUUUAUUGGUAAAACUACAGCCUUCCAAGCUGUUGUCGCGAGUUCGAUUCUCGUCACCCGCUU